rnacentral:tRNA from 1 species
UGGAGGGGUAGCGAAGUGGCUAAACGCGGCGGACUGUAAAUCCGCUCCUUCGGGGUCGGCAGUUCGAAUCUGCCCCCCUCCAU